CCCAGGCCUGAUGAGCAGGUCUCGCGCCUCCAUCCAUCGGGGGAGCAUCCCCGCGAUGUCCUAUGCCCCCUUCAGAGAUGUACGGGGACCCCCUAUGCACCGAACCCAAUACGUUCAUUCCCCAUAUGAUCGUCCUGGUUGGAACCCUCGGUUCUGCAUCAUCUCGGGGAACCAGCUUCUCAUGCUGGAUGAGGACGAGAUACACCCCCUUCUGAUCCGGGACCGGAGGAGCGAGUCCAGUCGCAACAAACUGCUGAGACGCACAGUCUCCGUGCCGGUGGAGGGGCGGCCCCACGGCGAGCAUGAAUACCACUUGGGUCGCUCGAGGAGGAAGAGCGUCCCAGGGGGGAAGCAGUACAGCAUGGAGGCCGCCCCCGCUGCACCCUUUCGGCCCUCGCAAGGCUUUCUGAGCCGGAGGCUAAAAAGCUCCAUCAAACGUACGAAGUCACAACCCAAACUUGACCGGACCAGCAGCUUUCGCCAGAUCCUGCCUCGCUUCCGAAGUGCUGACCAUGACCGGGCCCGGCUGAUGCAGAGCUUUAAGGAGUCGCACUCUCACGAGUCCUUGCUGAGUCCUAGCAGUGCGGCCGAGGCCUUGGAGCUCAACCUGGAUGAAGAUUCCAUUAUCAAGCCAGUGCACAGCUCCAUCCUGGGCCAGGAGUUCUGUUUUGAGGUAACAACAUCAUCAGGAACAAAAUGUUUUGCCUGUCGUUCUGCGGCCGAAAGGGACAAAUGGAUCGAGAAUCUACAGCGGGCAGUAAAACCCAACAAGGACAACAGCCGCCGGGUGGACAAUGUGUUGAAGCUGUGGAUCAUAGAGGCGCGGGAACUGCCCCCCAAGAAGCGGUACUAUUGCGAGCUCUGCCUGGAUGAUAUGCUGUAUGCACGCACCACCUCCAAGCCCCGCUCGGCCUCGGGGGACACCGUCUUCUGGGGCGAGCACUUCGAGUUCAACAACCUGCCAGCCGUCCGGGCCCUGCGGCUGCACCUGUACCGUGACUCAGACAAAAAGCGCAAGAAGGACAAGGCGGGCUAUGUCGGCCUGGUGACUGUGCCUGUGGCCACCCUGGCUGGGCGCCACUUCACAGAGCAGUGGUACCCCGUGACCCUGCCGACAGGCAGUGGGGGCUCCGGGGGUAUGGGGGGCUCGGGAGGGGGAGGGGGCUCAGGGGGUGGCUCAGGGGGCAAGGGCAAAGGAGGUUGCCCGGCUGUGCGGCUGAAAGCGCGUUACCAGACAAUGAGCAUCCUGCCCAUGGAGCUGUAUAAGGAGUUUGCAGAGUAUGUCACCAACCAUUAUCGGAUGCUGUGUGCGGUGUUGGAACCCGCCCUGAAUGUCAAGGGCAAGGAGGAGGUCGCCAGCGCGCUGGUUCACAUCCUGCAGAGUACGGGCAAGGCCAAGGACUUCCUUUCAGACAUGGCCAUGUCCGAGGUGGACCGGUUCAUGGAACGGGAGCACCUCAUAUUCCGCGAGAACACGCUCGCCACUAAAGCCAUAGAAGAGUACAUGAGACUGAUUGGUCAGAAAUACCUCAAGGAUGCCAUCGGGGAAUUCAUCCGUGCUCUGUAUGAAUCUGAGGAGAACUGUGAGGUGGACCCCAUCAAGUGCACGGCGUCCAGUCUGGCAGAGCACCAGGCCAACCUGCGGAUGUGCUGUGAGUUGGCCCUGUGCAAGGUGGUCAACUCCCAUUGCGUGUUCCCGAGGGAGCUGAAGGAGGUGUUUGCGUCUUGGCGGCUGCGCUGCGCAGAGAGGGGCCGGGAGGACAUCGCAGACCGGCUGAUCAGCGCCUCGCUCUUCCUGCGCUUCCUCUGCCCGGCCAUCAUGUCACCCAGUCUCUUUGGGCUCAUGCAGGAGUACCCAGAUGAGCAGACCUCGCGAACCCUCACCCUCAUCGCCAAGGUCAUCCAGAACCUGGCCAACUUUUCCAAGUUUACCUCAAAGGAGGACUUUCUGGGCUUCAUGAACGAGUUUUUGGAGCUGGAGUGGGGUUCCAUGCAGCAGUUCCUGUACGAGAUCUCCAACCUGGACACACUGACUAAUAGCAGUAGCUUUGAGGGUUACAUCGACCUGGGCCGAGAGCUCUCCACGCUGCACGCCCUGCUCUGGGAGGUGCUGCCCCAGCUCAGCAAGGAAGCCCUCCUGAAGCUGGGCCCACUGCCCCGGCUCCUCAACGACAUCAGCACAGCUCUGAGGAACCCCAACAUCCAACGGCAGCCAAGCCGUCAGAGCGAGCGGCCCCGGCCUCAGCCUGUGGUGCUGCGGGGCCCUUCGGCCGAGAUGCAGGGCUACGUGAUGCGGGACCUCAACAGCUCCAUCGACCUUCAGUCCUUCAUGGCUCGAGGCCUCAACAGCUCUAUGGACAUGGCUCGCCUCCCCUCCCCAACCAAGGAAAAGCCCCCCCCACCGCCGCCUGGUGGGGGGAAAGACCUGUUCUAUGUCAGCCGCCCACCCCUGGCCCGGUCCUCACCUGCGUACUGCACGAGCAGCUCGGACAUCACAGAACCGGAGCAGAAGAUGCUGAGUGUCAACAAGAGCGUCUCCAUGCUGGACCUGCAGGGUGACGGGCCCGGUGGCCGCCUCAACAGCAGCAGUGUGUCCAACCUGGCAGCCGUAGGGGACCUGCUGCACUCGAGCCAGGCCUCCCUGACUGCGGCGUUGGGGCUGCGGCCCGCACCUGCUGGCCGCCUCUCCCAGGGGAGCGGCUCAUCCAUCACAGCGGCCGGCAUGCGUCUCAGCCAGAUGGGCGUCACCACGGACGGUGUCCCUGCCCAGCAACUGCGCAUACCCCUCUCCUUCCAGAAUCCUCUCUUCCACAUGGCUGCUGAUGGGCCAGGCCCCCCAGGGGGCCACGGAGGGGGCGGAGGCCACGGUCCACCCUCCUCCCAUCACCACCAUCACCACCAUCACCACCACCGAGGUGGAGAGCCCCCAGGGGACACCUUCGCCCCAUUCCAUGGCUAUAGCAAGAGCGAAGACCUCUCCUCAGGGGUCCCCAAGCCCCCCGCUGCUUCCAUCCUCCACAGCCACAGCUACAGUGAUGAGUUUGGACCCUCUGGCACUGACUUCACCCGUCGGCAGCUCUCACUCCAGGACAACCUGCAGCACAUGCUGUCUCCACCCCAGAUCACCAUUGGUCCCCAGAGGCCCGUUCCCCCAGGGCCUGGAGGUGGGAGCGGCAGUGGGGGCAGCGGCGGGGGUGGCGGGGGCCAGCCGCCUCCGUUGCAGAGGGGCAAGUCUCAGCAGUUGACAGUCAGCGCUGCCCAGAAACCCCGGCCGUCCAGCGGGAACCUGUUGCAGUCGCCGGAGCCAAGUUAUGGCCCUGCCCGUCCGCGGCAGCAGAGCCUCAGCAAAGAGGGCAGCAUUGGGGGCAGCGGGGGCAGCGGCGGCGGAGGGGGUGGGGGGCUCAAGCCCUCCAUCACCAAGCAGCAUUCUCAGACGCCAUCCACACUGAACCCCACGAUGCCAGCCUCCGAGCGAACGGUGGCCUGGGUCUCCAACAUGCCUCAUCUGUCAGCUGACAUUGAGAGCGCCCACAUCGAGCGGGAAGAGUACAAGCUCAAGGAAUACUCGAAGUCCAUGGACGAGAGCCGGCUGGAUAGGGUGAAGGAGUAUGAGGAGGAGAUCCACUCACUGAAGGAGCGGCUGCACAUGUCCAACCGGAAGCUGGAAGAGUAUGAGCGGAGGCUGCUGUCCCAGGAAGAACAGACCAGCAAAAUCCUGAUGCAGUAUCAGGCCCGGCUGGAACAGAGCGAGAAGAGGCUAAGGCAGCAGCAGGCAGAGAAGGACUCACAGAUCAAGAGCAUCAUUGGCAGGCUGAUGCUGGUGGAGGAGGAGCUGCGCCGGGAGCACCCCGCCAUGGCUGAGCCGCUGCCCGAACCCAAGAAGAGGCUGCUCGACGCUCAGCUCCUCAUCAGGUAAUUCUCCUGGUUCCGCUUUGACCACGGGCGGAGGACACAGGGGGAGGUGACUCCGGACCACUGCAGGUUGGUCGUGAAGCCCACUCCCUUCUGACUCUCCGGAGCCUCUCCCCUGCUCACUGCUGCCCCCCACACCCGAGGACCUCUACAGGCCCGACCCUCCGGACACCUCCUGCACAGACCUGUCUCCCCAGGCAUUGUCCCAAGAGCACUUCCUGCCGCCUCCCAGAACUGUUCAGCGAUACCUGACCAGUACCAAGCACCUUACCCUAGAUGGCCCACACAUCCCCCAGAUCACACUCCCCUUCCUACACACCUCCCCGCGGCCUCCUCCUGACUCUCAGUCCUCCUCCUCUACCUCUCCAGUGUAUGUCUGUCACCCCCCAUUUCACCAAAGCGUCCUUGGGGGUUGGGAUGUUGGGGUCAGGGUUUGUUAAAGGGGUGGUGGUGAUGCUGGGUUGGGGGCCCCUGGCUAAAGGGGCUGUGCUGGCUGCAGCAGGUAGGCUGGGGUUUCCUCUUCCUUCUCCCACACCUUGGUUCUGUAGAGAGCCCUCCUUCCUCCCACCCCUCACCUGAUUCUCUCUCUUUCUCCUUUCUUACAUCUGUGAGGUAGAAGGCAUCUGGGGUUCCUAUUCAGCCCCAUUGGGUGGGAAUUAAGAGUGGGUAAUUAAUUAAGGGAGACUUUGGGGUGCUGGGAAAGGAUGCUGUUCAGAUGUCGGGACAGUAAGGGUGAGUGGAGCAAGGAGGAGCGAGAAAGGAACCUUGACAGAUGUUAGGAUGUGGACUGGUGCAUGUGGCAUUGGGAGUUGGAAGUGGGGGGAGGUGUCUUCCUAAAUAAGAUCGUGGGCUCUGUAGCCAUGUUGAUUCCAGGCAGAGAUGCCAGAACCAGCAGAUUAAAUAACCUCUCGUCAGUGCUCACAGCCCUGGGCUGCUAAUGCCACUCACUCCCCCUCUCCCGCCACCCAGUGGCCUUGCUGGACACAGAAUCCUACCUGAAGAGCCAGUAAAUGGGAACCAGUCAGCCACUGACAUCACUUCUGAGAUGCUUUAUUUUCUGCGGGAUUGAUCUGCAGUGGGCAGUGUCUCCUCACACUGUAAUUUUAACUCUCUGCCUGCCCGGCCUCUCUGUCAAAGUAGUUGGUGAGUUAAAAACAGAUGCUGCAAGGCACCAGGGGACCUCACCAUUUAAAGGACUCCUGUGGUGAAUUCUUUUGUAAAAUGAAUAAUGGCACCCUAAUUUAUCUCCUUUCUAAAUUUGGGUCCAUGGGGGUGUUGGGGGCAUGCCUGUGUGCUGUUGCCAGCAGACAAGCAGAGGGAAGGGAAUCUGAGGUUUCCUUCCCCUGCUGUCCUGCCACACUCAGGAUACCCUACCAUACAGGAUUUCCUCUCUUGCUGGCUGUGGAAAGUGUGGGAGAGGCAAGCUAAGAGGGUGGCUUUGCUUAAAUCUUGGGUUUGGGUGACCUUCUGAGAGAUGAGGAGAGAUGACCUGGGAGCCUCUGCUUGGAGUGUUUUUAUAUCUUUUAGAGAUUCUGUCAGACACAGCUAGGUUGCCAGGAUUCAAUGCCCUAUGGUCCAGGAAAUAAUUUGGACACAUUCUCUAAACCCCUUUCAGGUAUUGGUCCCUCUGCAACUCAGCCAUUAACAUAAAAAUUAAUUAUGUGCCUGUAUUUUUAAAAGCCUAAGCAAGCAACCCAAAGUGUAGAACACAUGGCUUUCUUCUCCUCUCCCAGCAGAGGAACAGAAGCCAGAGCUGAGGGGAGGAGCCAGGAGUUGGUCCAGGAAGGGGUAGGAAGGGGUAGAAUAGGACCAGGGGUGGGAGUAGGGUUUGGUACCCCUUACCCUCUAACUGGGAGCCCAGGGUGAGGGAAUGAAAGGAGCGUGGGGGUGGAAAGGAAUGAAGCCCUUCUGUUUCCUGGGGAUGCAGAGCUUGGGGCAUGCUGUGUCUCUGCAGAAGCUCCUAGUCCUUUCCUUCCUGCCGUUAUUGUGAGCGAGAGGCGGCCCCUCCCACAGUGUUUUCUCCUUCCCACAUCACUUCCCUGAAUCCCCUUCCUUUCCCCCCAGUACAGUUAAACCUCUCUAAUUUGGAAUGUUAUAUUUGAGAAGCUGGCCACUGUGAAUAAGUGACAAAACUGAAUGACAGUGUCUUUAAUGAAAUGCAUGUCUUCAUACUAUAUACAGAGAGGCAGCUUCCCCCCUUGGGUCCAACAAACCCGCGUGUGACGCUGGCCCCACCUUGGAACGGCCUGGCCCCCCCAGCCCCACCUCCCCC